CUACGGGGCGCUCCAGUCGGGAAUAUUGCACAAUGGAGGAAACUCUGAUGCAGCGACGCCGCGUGAACGAAGAAGGCCUUCGGGUCGUAAAGUUCUGAUGUGAGAGAAGAAGAUAGUGACGGUAUCUCACCAGCAAGCACCGGCUAACUACGUGCCAGCAGCCGCGGUAAUACGUAGGGUGCAAGCGUUGUCCGGAAUUACUGGGCGUAAAGGGAGCGUAGGUGGUUAUAUAAGUCUUUAGUAAAAGGCAUUGGCUCAACCAAUGUAGGCUAGAGAAACUAUAUAACUUGAGUACAGUAGAGGUAAGUGGAAUUCCUAGUGUAGCGGUGAAAUGCGUAGAUAUUAGGAGGAACACCAGUGGCGAAGGCGACUUACUGGGCUGUAACUGACACUGAGGCUCGAAAGCGUGGGGAGCAAACAGGAUUAGAUACCCGAGUAGUC
rnacentral:rRNA from 1 species